AUUGAACGCUGGCGGCAGGCCUAACACAUGCAAGUCGAGCGGGGUUUUCGGACCUAGCGGCGGACGGGUGAGUAAUGCGUAGGAAGCUACCCGAUAGAGGGGGAUAUCAGUUGGAAACGACUGUUAAUACCGCAUAAUGUCUACGGACCAAAGUGUGGGACCUUCGGGCCACAUGCUAUCGGAUGCGCCUACGUGGGAUUAGCUAGUUGGUGGGGUAAUGGCUCACCAAGGCGACGAUCCCUAGCUGGUUUGAGAGGAUGAUCAGCCACACUGGAACUAAGACACGGUCCAGACUGCGACGGGAGGCAGCAGUGGGGAAUAUUGGACAAUGGGCGCAAGCCUGAUCCAGCCAUGCCGCGUGUGUGAAGAAGGCCUUCGGGUUGUAAAGCACUUUCAGUAGGGAGGGAGGGUGUUGUGUUAAUAGCACAGCAUUUUGACGUUACCUACAGAAGAAGCACCGGCUAACUCUGUGCCAGCCGCCGCCGUAGUAA
rnacentral:rRNA from 1 species